rnacentral:rRNA from 1 species
AUGCAAGUCGAACGACCCGCUUCGGGCGGGAGUGGCGGACGGGUGAGUAACGAGUGAGAACGUACCCUCUAGUGAGGAAUAACCCCGAGAAAUCGGGGCUAAUACCGCAUAAGACCGUGAGGUGAAAGGGUGUAACUACCCGCUAGAGGAGCGGCUCGCUUCCCAUCAGCUUGUUGGUAAGGUAAUGGCUUACCAAGGCAAUGACGGGUAGCUGGACUGAGAGGUUGACCAGCCACAAGAGCACUGAGACACGGGCUCUACUCCUACGGGAGGCAGCAACCGGGAAUAGUAGACAAUGGGCGAAAGCCUGAUCUCGCGACGCCGCGUGGAGGAUGAAGGCCUUCGGGUUGUAAACUCCUUUUAUUAGGGAAUAAGUUCCGAUUAAUCGGGAUUGACUGUACCUAUUGAAUAAGCCGCUGCUAACUACGUGCCAGCAGCCGCGGUGAUACGUAGGCGGCAAGCGUUACCCGGAAUUACUGGGCGUAAAGAGUGCGUAGGUGGUAAGGUAAGUUUUCGUUAAAAUACAUAGGCUCAACCUAUGGACCGCGGAAAUACUGCCAUACUUGAGAUAGUUAGGGGGUACCGGAACAGAUGGUGAAGCAGUGAAAUGCGUUGAUA